rnacentral:lncRNA from 1 species
UAAGAAGUGAAAGCACAUAUCUUAGGAAAGGUUACGUAAAGGCUGAAGACAAACAAAAGUUGUCCAUCUCCAGCCUCAUAAGUUACAUGAGACGCGACGGUGUAAUACAAACAACAUGGAAGAUGUCAUAUAGCAGAUUCAAGUGGAAACGAAAUCACAAGACAACUUAAAGCUAACAACUUCUCCCUCUCUCACCCUCACACACACACACACACACACACACAAACCCAGAGCAACGGUUGAGUUCAUCGCCUGAAAUGCAUCUUUGCUCUGAUAAGAAGAGAAAAGAGAGGGAAGAAAGCAAGUGAGACUCAGCAUUACAUUGCAGUCGAAGUAGGAGAUGGACUCGCUGGUAAUUUUCAAUCUACCUUUGUGCUCCUACCUAACCUGCGUGAGGAGGGAAAUCGCAUCAGGGGAAGUGGAGAUAAGCAACUCGAACGGAAUCAUGCAGCUCCAAGGAAGAGAGAGAAAGGUGUCAACCUUAGCGGUCCCAAUUGAAUCUGGAUAGUCAUCUGUUGAAGUCAAGGAAUGUGCAUAAACUACUGCCAUCUCUUUACAUGCAUGUUACGACAAAUUGGCAAAUAGCUAGCACAUUCUGGCUUGCCAUUUUUUAUUGUAC